rnacentral:rRNA from 1 species
GGAGUCUGGGCCGUGUCUCAGUCCCAAUGUGGCCGAUCAACCUCUCAGUCCGGCUACCGAUCGUCGGCAUGGUAGGCCGUUACCCCACCAUCUACCUAAUCGGACGCGAGCCCAUCUCUCAGCGAUAAAUCUUUGGUCAAGGUAUCAUGCGGUACUAUGACGUUAUGCGGUAUUAGCAGCCGUUUCCAACUGUUAUUCCACUCUGAGAGGCAGGUUGCUCACGUGUUACUCACCCGUCCGCCACUAAGUCAUAAAGUGCGUCACUCCGAAGAGAUCAGCUCUAAAUGCUUCGUUCGACUUGCAUGUGUUAGGCACGCCGCCAGCGUUCGUCCUGAGCCAGGAUCAAACUACU